UGGGGAAUAUUGCACAAUGGGCGCAAGCCUGAUGCAGCCAUGCCGCGUGUAUGAAGAAGGCCUUCGGGUUGUAAAGUACUUUCAGCGGGGAGGAAGGGAGUAAAGUUAAUACCUUUGCUCAUUGACGUUACCCGCAGAAGAAGCACCGGCUAACUCCGUGCCAGCAGCCGCGGUAAUACGGAGGGUGCAAGCGUUAAUCGGAAUUACUGGGCGUAAAGCGCACGCAGGCGGUUUGUUAAGUCAGAUGUGAAAUCCCCGGGCUCAACCUGGAAACUGCUCUGGAUCUGGGCAAGCUUGGGCUCCGUGGGGGGGGUAGAAUUCCAGGUGUAGCGGUGAAAUGCGUAGAGAUCUGGAGGAAUACCGGUGGCGAAGGCGGCCCCCUGGACGAAGACUGACGCUCAGGUGCGAAAGCGUGGGGAGCAAACAGG
rnacentral:rRNA from 1 species